GACGAACCGUGCAAACGUUAUUCGGAAUCACUGGGCAUAAAGGGCGCGUAGGCGGCUCCACAAGUCAGGGGUGAAAUCCGGCAGCUUAACUGUCGCAGUGCCUUUGAUACUGUGGAGCUAGAGGGAGGUAGGGGUCUGUGGAACUUCCGGUGGAGCGGUGAAAUGCGUUGAUAUCGGAAGGAACGCCGGUGGCGAAAGCGACGGACUGGAUCUCUUCUGACGCUGAGGCGCGAAAGCCAGGGGAGCAAACAGG
rnacentral:rRNA from 1 species